GUCAGUGUUGCGAGUCUGUUCCACUGACGUGAACCGCAGAAGAAGUCAUUGUUUUUGCAGCCCGGGAAAACAACUCUCCUUACACCCUGUUAGCAUGUUGCUAACUCACAAACUACACGGCGGUGAAGGCGGCCGUCAUUCGACACAAACACUUUAACGGUCUAACCGCGUUAUUCAUUUACUUUAUUAUACAUUAGCGCAAUGCCUUCGUUUUCAAAGCACAAGAGGAACACCAGGGAUAUGAGGUGCGUGUUGUUUCCGGAUGACGUCAGGGAGACGUUCGUCAGGAGGGGAACCUGCGAGACGCCGAAAUCCGCAAAGUCGUCAUGGGAGAGAUGCGGGGACAGCUUCCUGGACACGCCUGUGAUGGAGAAACGCGUCACUGUAGGACAGACAAGUAGGGCGGUGCAUCAGCUGGCACAGAUUUCCACAUCUGGGCACGAGGAUCCCGUCCACAUUGCCUGGACGUCGAGCGAGGACGAGCAGUCUGACGGAGAACGCCAGCUUCCUCUCUCUUUCACCAAGGCAGCUCGGAGAGCCAGACCGGAGGUCAGCGUGUCCGGAAGAUACGGUCGCUUCCUCAGCACAGGAGCAGAGACAGACGAGCUUCCAACCAUCGAUUCAGAAAGCGAGCAUGAGGACAAUUCUACUUCAAACGAGCGAAUUUCUCCGGUGGUUGCUGAGAUCUCAGACUACUCUUCCGAUAGCGACGGAGAUCCCGACCCCAGCCGUCUGGAUUCUCCUGCUGGGGAGCGACAGAAGUCCAUCAGCGAGUGGCUCCGAUCAGCCCAAGCGCUGCUCCAGACGCCCCCGAAACAAACCGAUAAGCCCUCGAAGACACCCGAAGACUCUGGGAAAAAGAAGCGCAAGUUUGAAAGUCGAGGGCUCGCAGAGAGACUGAACAGGCUUCAAUCUCGACAGAAGUCAGCUAUAAGCUUCUGGAGACACCAGCCUGUGUCCAGCAUUACCACAGGAACAGAGGAGAGACCAGGCGUGUUGGUGCUCCACGUUCAGAAGGUGUGGGAGGUUUGCGGGAUGCAGGCUGCACUGUGCCAGAGACGCCCCGAGAGCGAGACGUGCGUCGCCCUGUUCAGCAGGGAAACAGCCACUCAGCUGGCACCCAGCGCAGGAGACACCAUCCAUGUCUAUCCACCCUGGCAAAGCCUGACCGUCGACGGCGAGCGUCAUCCCAUCAUCCUCAACACUCAUUUCAGUCAGAAAGUUGUAAGAACGUCAAAGCAGGACAACGACGGGACUCGCUUAAGGGUUCCGUGCCUCAAGGAGAAGACCAAACCUUAUCCUUUAACCAGGUGCUUAUGGAAAAGGGAAGAGGAUUUCAAGUCUUCUCAGGCAUUCGUUGCUAACAGACAGCCCCACAUGGACGUAGGAAGUGCCUCUGAAUCUCUGCUGGAGGCUUUGGAUACUUGUGGGACCACAGGAUCUGUGUGCGGUCCUGUGGAGGUGGUGGUCCAGAGGGUCUAUUCCGAGUCUGUCGCACAGUUUCCUCACACAAGCUUACUUAGAUACCGAACACUUAGCAAGUGUCUCCCUGAAACAGCAAAGCAACAACACUUCAGCAGGUGUUGUUUGCUGGUGCAGGAUAUUCACGGCAUGUUCAGCGAGGUGGAGAUGCAGUACGCGUGUUCAGAAGAGGAGCUAAAAGACUUAACAGAGCAGCUGCAGGGAAAAGUGUGUCUGCUGCAGGGACUGAAGGUGAUCCAGCGCCUCACUCGCGAGAGAUGUGCUCAGCUCUUCAGUUUGAUUGACAGUUUGUGGCCUCCUGCGGUUCCUCUGCACGUCCCUGGAGAAGGCUCAUGCUAUCAGACUGUUAAAGCUUCAGCAGCACCAAGUUUCUGCUACAGACUGGCGGGACAGCGCGACUGUGUGUUGGCUAAACGCGAGUCACCGCUGUACCGCCCUCCUUUCAUUCAGACCCUCCGAGAGAUCUUGCAGGACGAGCCAGUGAGUCGGCGAUGCAGCUUCAAGGGCACGUUGGUGUAUAAGCGAGAGCCGGUCAGUCGGAAAUCGGAUGAAGAAGAGAACGACCUCUUGAUGUUUGUUACGGACUCCAGCCUGCAGGACGAGAAGUGCUCAGGAAGCACGAGCAGGACUCUACCUGUGUACGUGAGCUCCGCCGUCCUGCUCCAGACGUCGGUCCGUCAAGCCGUCGCUGCGCUGACGCCCCGCUUCAGGCCGAGGCUCGUUUUCAGAGACGCCGUGAUCGAGCGAGGGAAGGUCACCAUCUCGAGGCAGUCCGUGGUUCGCCCGGACACGGAGCCACUCGAAAAUCAGAAUGUUUCCUCUGGCCAGUGUGUUCUGCUGGACCGGCUGAGUCCCGAGAGCCCGCCCUGCUCUCUUUGCACCGUUACAGGUGUAGUGAUGGACAUCGAUGAGAAUUCUGCUUUUUCGUGGCCAGUCUGCUGUCAGUGUGGAGGUGAACAUUUAGAAGCCCACGAAGACAGACAAGACGUGUUUUCAUGUGCAGUGUGUGGUAUCGUGGACAAACCAAGCAGAAAGAUGCAGCUGGAAGUGUUUCUCAGCUGCUCGUCUUCGAGUCACUGGACUGUCAAAGUUAAGCUACAGCAAAACUCCAUCAUGUCCCUUCUAGAUUCAACCGGAAACACACAGGUAAUACAGUAGCUCCCAAAUACCUUAUACAAGUCCCUAUUGUGGUGUUGAUACAGGAACUAUAAAAGUUACGAGGUGGAGGCGGUGCUCGGGAAGAGCGUCGGCCCUCUAAACGCCUUCGUCCACGUGGUCACCCGCUCUUCCACCCUCUGGAUGGCGUUGGAGGAGAUCACCCUUUGACCUGGGAUCACAAAUACAUCUGUGUGUCUCACUUCACUGGUCUGUCUAAAUACCAAAGCGAGGAUAAUUUUUUACAGCCUAAUAAAUCUGGGUACGAUCCGUGCAGUGCAUUUUUUACGACCCGUGCUGUCAUGUGAUUUGACCUGAGGUGAUGUGAAGGACCGAAGGACAUGUUCUUAAUCAUACCGAACUGAACGUCUGCUGUGUUAAGAAUGAGGUGCUAUUAAUAGGGUUGUUUUCACAGGUGUUAGUCUGCAGGUAAAACUAACCCUCGGAGCCACACGUUUGUGAAGAGUGCAAAUAAAACAAGUUGGUCAUGAACCUUGCUGAAAAUCAGAAUGAGACUGGAUUAUUUGCCUAUUAAGUAAUAGGACUGUCCCUUUUGCCACACCCACCCUCCAUCCCUCUAUCCCUCCAUUCACACGGAUCAGUUCCGGUCUUUAAGCUCAUUUCAUUUUAUUUCUAUCAAUAUUCCAGUUUUUUGUAUUUUUUACAGACUUGAUAUAAAAUGUUCACUUUUGAAUACAAAGUAUGGAAUUAUGAAACAUGUACCAUAUAUAUGACUUUUUUUCUGUAAUAAUUUAGAAUACAAAAAAAAAAAAAAAAAGGUCCAACAUU